rnacentral:rRNA from 1 species
AGAGUUUGAUCCUGGCUCAGAUUGAACGCUGGCGGCAGGCCUAACACAUGCAAGUCGAGCGGAUGACGGGAGCUUGCUCCUUGAUUCAGCGGCGGACGGGUGAGUAAUGCCUAGGAAUCUGCCUGGUAGUGGGGGACAACGUUUCGAAAGGAACGCUAAUACCGCAUACGUCCUACGGGAGAAAGCAGGGGACCUUCGGGCCUUGCGCUAUCAGAUGAGCCUAGGUCGGAUUAGCUUGUUGGUGAGGUAAUGGCUCACCAAGGCGACGAUCCGUAACUGGUCUGAGAGGAUGAUCAGUCACACUGGAACUGAGACACGGUCCAGACUCCUACGGGAGGCAGCAGUGGGGAAUAUUGGACAAUGGGCGAAAGCCUGAUCCAGCCAUGCCGCGUGUGUGAAGAAGGUCUUCGGAUUGUAAAGCACUUUAAGUUGGGAGGAAGGGCAGUAAGUUAAUACCUUGCUGUUUUGACGUUACCGACAAAAUAAGCACCGGCUAACUCUGUGCCAGCAGCCGCGGUAAUACAGAGGGUGCAAGCGUUAAUCGGAAUUACUGGGCGUAAAGCGCGCGUAGGUGGUUUGUUAAGUUGGAUGUGAAAGCCCCGGGCUCAACCUGGGAACUGCAUCCAAAACUGGCAAGCUAGAGUACGGUAGAGGGUGGUGGAAUUUCCUGUGUAGCGGUGAAAUGCGUAGAUAUAGGAAGGAACACCAGUGGCGAAGGCGACCACCUGGAC